rnacentral:rRNA from 1 species
CGACGUAGGUAACCUGCUUGGUAGCGGGGGAUAACUAUUGGAAACGAUAGCUAAUACCGCAUAAGAACAUUUACUGCAUGGUAGAUGUUUAAAAGGUGCAAAUGCAUCACUACCAGAUGGACCUGCGUUGUAUUAGCUAGUAGGUGAGGUAACGGCUCACCUAGGCGACGAUACAUAGCCGACCUGAGAGGGUGAUCGGCCACACUGGGACUGAGACACGGCCCAG